CGGGCGGGAUGGGGUGGGCCGUGCUCCGUGGGAGCGUGCGAGGCGUUCGGCAGCCUGUGGGGGUUCCGUGUCUCCGUUUGCUUUCGUUCGUAUUUUCUGAGGCGGACGCGGUGUGCAAGCGACGCCUCGGUUUGCCGUCUGAACAGGCUGAGCCUGCCGCACAGCACGUGGGCCUUCACUUGUAGGAAUGUCGCUCCGCUCGCGUGCCCCAGUCCGCGUCGCACAGUGUGCGGAUCAGCCACAAGCGCCAAUAGCUAGUCAGGAAGAGACGUUUUCCUGUACGGACAGUACGUUCCCCCCAUUUAAGAAAUGUAGGUGAAAGACUCAGGAAAUCAUGUUCCAGGAUCUCAGAAAUGUGCAGAAGUCUACCAGGAGAAAAGGAAUUGAGCACUUUACAUUGGCAAGACGAAGCCAACAGGAAAGCCAGUUACACACAUGCUGAGCUGAAAGGGAUGAAACUCUUCUUUACCAAAACCUUGCGUGUUCCUUAUCCUAUGGACAGAGUGGCUGUGUGUCACUUCUGUAUCCUCGGGAUAAAAUGAGCACUGAUACAAACUUCAAAGGAGAUUAACAUUUGGAUCUUUCGGUGGGUUGCAGUACAGAAAAGCAAGAUGCUUUCAUUGUUAACUCUCUUAGACACUUCCAAGCCAAGAAUUACUGCUCAAAGAAGUGUAGAAGAUAAAUAUGUUCAGCGUUCAUUUUGCACGGACAACAAAGCUGGUGAAUGCUGGAGUCCUACAGAUUCUUGUACUUUGCCUAUACUCUGCUUCCUGCUGUGUAACAGUAGCUGUGCUGCAUGUUCCCCUGAAAUGCCCGCUGGGCACAGACAGCUCGUGCUGCAGUGACUGUGCAGCCAUCCACACAUCGCCCAGCUGACCAAGUUCUGUAAAAUGUCUGUAUGGAGUUUUUUUUUCUCAUGUUGCUCAGUAAGCUGGAGAGUCUGUCCCCCAAACAGCUACCAAUUUUUUCAAUAAAAUACCCCUCUUACUUUCACACUUGACUCUUCUACCUGAUCUAAAUGUAACAGAAUAUGGCCAGUAGGCCUGAAAGCUAUGGGGCAGGGUAACAACAGAUGGCUCAACAACAAAGGUCGUAUUUCUUUAGGAAGCUGGGAAUGCUUCCCCAUCCCCAUUGUGUGGGUUGGAAAUGCUACAUUAAGACUCCCAGACAACCUUCUGUUUUAUGGCAAUUAAAUGUAAUACAAUAUUCUAAAGGCAUUAAAGGUAAUUUCCUUAUGUUGUUACGACAGGGCCAAAUUAUUUUAAUGCCUACUAGAUAAUACUAGAUAAGUAAUUAAUAGUCACGUAUCUUAAUAUGAUAAUUCUAGAAUUUAAAUCUUUUGAAUAUGGGAUAAUCCAAAAUUCCUACAGAAUAUUUCCUUGUAAGUUGCUAAUAUGAAGAAGUGGAUGGAGAGUGUAAUGUCUGAAAGUUUAGUGAUUUAAAAUGCCAUAUAAAAGCAAGCUACUUUUUUUCUAAUUUUAGCACUAUCCUUUGUUACAAUUGAAUGUAGCUAUUCAGUCCUAAGAUCAGUUUUCCCUUAAGCCACAGGCUGCUGAAAAAAUUGAAGGCACGAAAAAAUCCUGUUGCUUGGUCAACUGCACACAGUCCAAGUGUAGCUGUUUUAAAGGGUCUCAAUGCUUACGAGGAUGAUAGCGUAAUGCACUUGUGCUUACCAUGUUAGCAUUGACAUAAAGGCCAUAGGUAAGUUCAAUUUUGUUCUCCAGUGCUACUAACAGAAUUUUAAUAGCGAGAUUAUACUUAUACCUACAGUAACAGGGAGACCCACGAUGGCCAACAGGUCUGUGUAGAGACCUGUCUCAAAAGAGAGCAGCGUUACCAUGACUGUGCCAUAGCUAUAAAGAAGUUAGUUGUUUCAGUGCACAUCAGUCAACAUACAAACGUUUAUGUAGGUUAAGUGACAGGUUAGUGUGUCCAGCUGGAUGUGAGCAAUAACUUAAUUCAGAAAUGCAGGAGUAGGAGUGUAAUUUAAAGUCACUUUUGUUGUCAGCCUUUGUCCUCCGUUCCUGAGGUGAAAGUGGCACUGGUCACAUCCCUUGAGAAACACAGGCCUGUUGGCUGAUCUCUGUAGCUUCACUUUAGACAGAAUGACAGAAACUGGUGGUUAAUCCCUCCACAAGCUAGCUCAGUGUGUUGUGUUGGCAGGAAAUGAUGGCUUGGUUUGACGGACGUAGGGCUUUUGUCAUUACUACUCAGUGCAGAAAAUGAAAGCACAGGGAGGCAAAGUCAGGCAGCAGGCCAGAGGGCAUGGCUUCCAAGUCUCUCCCACUGUCAGGCCACCUUGACCACAAGGCUUCAUGUGUCACUAUAAAUAGCGUAUAGGCCUCCAAGAUUUCAGUGUCAAAAUCAGUGGUAUUCUAAUGAACUCUGCCCUUCCCAUCCCCCUUUGUGUUUUUUUGUCUCCUUCUCUCUGCAGGCACACUGAAUAUGUUUUCAGAUUUCAGAUAAAUUUGGAACAUUUUCAUUUAUAAUUCUAAUCAGUAGACAUGAGAGGACCUGACCUCUUUUAUAAUAACUGGAAAGGUUGAGUAAUUGAGGUCUGAGUAAUCAAGGUCAAAAUAUGAUGCUGAGCAUACAUCUUACAGUUACCUAGUUUGGACUUUACAACAUCACAGAUAUUAAACUACAAAAUCUUCAAAACACAAAGAUCUACUUUUUCUCUAUAAAGAAAUAAUAUAUACUUGUUUUUUAAACUGAAAAUUAUUAAUGGCACAGUGUCGUAACAUUUCACGUAGCUGAAGUGCAUCUGCUCAUGUUUAGGUCUAUUCACAUUAGCAAUAAUACUUAGGAUAAAGCUGCUUCUGUCUUUAGUACAGGAUCUGUUAUGUCAUGAGAGGUUCACUGCCUGCAACAAGCACCAUUACAUAACGAUGCUUCAUCCACACUAUCUAUUGGCAUGCAUUAGUCAACAAGGAUGAGAGGCAUACAGUUGUAUCAAUGGGGAUCAAUGUUCCUCUUUACAUGCUGCAUCAGAGAUAUGAAAAUGGGGCCAAGGAGCAGGUGGCCUGAUAUUUCUAAGGACAUUUCUUCUCUUUCCCCCUAAAAGGAAGAAUGAGAACAUCGCUGGUUCUCUUACACUCAUCUGUUUUCAAAGCUUGAUAGAAUUUGUUAGAGCAGGCUAUUACAGCAUUAUGACAACUCUGAACGUACAGCAUCCCAUCUGCAGUGAUAAAUGCAGGAGAGAAGAGGGACAAAUUGGUCCGUGUGCAGUCCUCUGCAGUAGUACCCAUUCAAGUAAAGAUUUCAGAGCAAAAGAAAAGUGCUUACACAUGCCUGAGACAGUUAAACUAAACCUCUGUAAGCUUGUACAUAAUUAUCUCCACAAAGCUGCUUCCUGUCUUUGACAUCAACUACUUCAGUCAAGUAAUUAUUUUUCUUCAGAUUUGUGGAAAGAACAAGAUUGAAGUAAGGUGCUUCUAUCAGAAAAGGGUAAAAGGCAGCAAGAGAGCCAUUGUAAUAGAAACACGAUGGAUCCCCUGGCAAAGAACAGUUCAAGAGGGCAGGGCACAGCAUUUAAUUUGCUUCUCAGUAGGCCACAAGCCCCCAUAAAAGCAGUUAUUGAGUACUUGUCCCUCAGUCUUCACUGGUGAGCUCACCAGGCGCUUCUCCUGUGUUUUUCCUUUGCUGCUGUUUGUUCUGAUUUACUUUAAGCCUGUAGUCUAUGAAGCUGCCAUGUGGUGCUGCCUCGGAGUCGUCUUUAAUUUAAUGCCACAGACAGUAAUUAGAAGGGCAGCUCCGAAAGUAACAUCUCCUAUCUUAUGAUGUUGGAAGAAACAAGUACAAUUAACUGUUUGCAAAACAUAUUUUGUUUUCCUCCUGAUUUGCUGGAGUAAAAAAAUGCCUUGCUGUACUAAAUUGCCUAGGUGGGUGCCACACUUUACAUUACCUUGUCAUCGUAAUGCGUGCCUCUAAAAGCAAAGGGUUAUUGCUAUAACCUCAAUACUUCAAGUAUUCAUCCAGUGCUGCAAUGCAAGGAACUUCUUGUGCCUGCAGUUUUAUUCAUUUAGCUACAGCACUCGCCUUUCUUUCUAUACAGUUUAUUUCUGACUCAUCUUCUUACAACAUCCAAGAUAAAAAUAGGUAAUUGUUCCAUCUAAAUUCCCAUAAUCCUUGUACUCAAUAAACAUAAAGUCAUGUAACUGUUCUUAGUCAGGAUUGCACUAAUCAGUGCAACUGGCACUCCUGACCUUGUGAUAUCUAUC